rnacentral:rRNA from 1 species
CAAUGGGCGAAAGCCUGACGCAGCCACGCCGCGUGCCGGAUGAAGGCCCUAUGGGUUGUAAACGGCUUUUAAGCAGGAAGAACGACCGGAUUUCGAUCUGGUGUGACGGUACUGCUUGAAUAAGCACCGGCUAACUCCGUGCCAGCAGCCGCGGUAAUACGGAGGGUGCAAGCGUUGUCCGGAAUCAUUGGGUGUAAAGGGUGCGUAGGCGGGCGUCUAAGUCUGGGGUGAAAUCUUGCCGCUUAACGGUAAAAUGGCCUUGGAUACUGGGCGUCUUGAGUGUAGAAGAGGUAAGUGGAAUUCGUAGUGUAGCGGUGAAAUGCAUAGAUAUUACGAAGAACAUCAGUGGCGAAGGCGGCUUACUGGUCUACAACUGACGCUGAGGCACGAAAGCGUGGGGAGCGAACAGGAUUAGAUACCCUGGUAGUCCACGCUGUAAACGAUGCAUACUAGGUGUUGGCCUUUCGGGGCCAGUGCUGCAGUUAACGCAUUAAGUAUGCCACCUGGGGAGUACGUCG